rnacentral:rRNA from 1 species
UUACGACUACAUAUCAGGCAUAUCAAUAAGCGGAGGAAAAGAAACUAACUAGGAUUCCCUUAGUAACGGCGGGUGAAGCGGGAAGAGCUCAAAUUUGAAAUCUUCAAGGUUCUACCUUGACGAAUUGUAGUUUAAUAGAAGUGUUUUCUGUUAGUGGAGUUGGCUAAAAGUUCUUUGGAAUAGGACAUCAUAGAGGGUGAGAAUCCCGUAUUUGGUCAUUCCUCCUAGCUGUUGUGAUACACUUUCAACGAGUCGGAUUGUUUGGGAAUGCAGUCCAAAAUGGGUGGUAAAUUUCAUCUAAAGCUAAGUAUUGGCGAGAGACCGAUAGCGAACAAGUACCGUGAGGGAAAGAUGAAAAGGAACUUUGAAAAGAGAGUUAAACAGUACGUGAAAUUGUCAAAAGGGAAGCGUUUGACACCAGUGUUGUUUAGUUCGAAAAUCAAUUACGAAUAGUUUUUGAUUCUGAGGAGUAUUAACUUCAUCAGCUUGCUGCUUUCUUCUCAGAAACUUAUUGAAUGCACUUUUCAGGUUAACAAGUCAACAUCAAUUUCUUUUGUUGUAAAAGGGUAAGAGGAAGGUGGCUUUCUCUUCGGCGCAAGUGUUUAUAGCCUUGUAUCUCUGCAAUCGGAGAGAUUGAGGUCUGCAGCGUAGAUCCUUCGGGGUUAGAUACAUUGGUGCUAAGCUAUAGCCUUGUAUAGACAACUUGUUGACUAUGCUCAGUCAUGUAGCUUACUCGCUUAUGCUAUUUUACCUACGCUUAGGAUGUUGAACGCGCACAGAGUCUC